UACGUAGGGUGCGAGCGUUAAUCGGAAUUACUGGGCGUAAAGCGUGCGCAGGCGGUUUUGUAAGACAGGCGUGAAAUCCCCGGGCUCAACCUGGGAAUUGCGCUUGUGACUGCAAGGCUAGAGUGCGUCAGAGGUGGGUAGAAUUCCACGUGUAGCAGUGAAAUGCGUAGAGAUGUGGAGGAAUACCGAUGGCGAAGGCAGCCCCCUGGGACGUGACUGACGCUCAUGCACGAAAGCGUGGGGAGCAAACAGG
rnacentral:rRNA from 1 species